ACUUGGAAGGCAUCUGAAAGCUUUGCCCCACAUGUUGCUAGGUGUGAGAUGCUGUUUCUUAAACUGGGCACCAGGAGACAUCAGGUAUACAUCUGGAACUGGCUGUUGCCCAUGUGGAUGGACCUUUUGUACCCAGGGGGAGGAGUUAAGAAAUACAAGUGGCUGUGAAAUGCUUUGGAUUAUUGUAUUUUUCGCUCCAUAAAACGCUCCUGACUAUAAGAUGCACCUAGGUUUAGAGGAGGAAAACAAGAAAAAAAAAUCUGCCUCUGCCUCCCAGCAUCAAUCUGGUAUUCAUCUGACUAGCAUCCUUGUAGCAAAAAGCAAGCAGCCUGCCUCCUCUGUGUCUGCUGCCUCCGCUGGGGAAUGCUGGAGCCUUUGCUUCCAAGCA